CAACUUCUUCGAUUGGAACAACGUGCAGUUAAAAGUCCAAUUUUCCAGUGCUGGAGCGAUCUUUGGAAUUUAAAUAAACUGGAUAAGGUUCCUUGGGAUAUUGGAGAAAUACCCACACUCGAAAGAAUAUGUGUUCGUUACUGUACGAAAUCAGGGAGCAUGUCAGCAAUGGAGAUACUAGAGGAACAAGAGAAUCUCGGAAAUCAAGUCCUUCAACUUGGAAUUGAAUUCAAAGGAGAUCCAAUGUGGAUGGAAAAGAUCAAAGAAUGCUUCACAUCCCAAAAUCUUCACAUUUCAUCGAAGGGUUUUUAUCAUUCUUUGAGUUACAAUUUGCUCACGCACUCAAGAUGACUCAGUUCUUCGAUGUCUUAGUUGGAGGGAAAACGUCUUACACCUAAGUUGCGUCUUUGUAGGUGUUUGGUUGCUUCAUUGCUGCUAUUUUAUCAAAUUUUCAGUUUUAUUUGCAAUUGAGUGUCUCAAAUGUUAGAUGGAAUGUUGUUAUUCUUUAAACGAUUCUUGUUUGAAAUCGUUUAAGUGGUGCAUUUGAAUGUCGAAGUUCUCACUAGACAUGUUUUCGAUUCAUUAGUACUCAUUUCUGAAGACGGUAAUUUCUGCUUGAAUUUUGUAUUUUUUCUAAAUUGUAUGGUAAAGCUAAUUGUUGUCACUCGGCCUUCAGAGAUCCCCAAGCUGAGUGAAUUGAUGAGUCGAGGUGUUGAGAAUGGAGUCGAAGAUUUGAGGAUGAUGGACGGGCAAGAAGCUAUGCGUGUAGAGCCAUACCUAUACUGCACAAAGCCUUGCUAUCGCCUAUUUCUGGGAUCAUUCAUAUCCAUUCGUUGCUGCCCUUGCUACUGGUAUCUAUCUAUUUUUGUCGAGAUGAAUGACGAGAAAAGAAAAACUUUCGUAUGUAUAAGUAAGUCGUGUUUGGAGUUGCGUUACUAGCGUUUAGGGGAAGCUGAGAGCCAUCCCUCGACCUAUUGGUUAAAGCAUUGGACGAAAGCUUUCACCCAUCAAGCUGUUCAUUUUUACAGAGGGAUCAAUAAUGGUUCUCAAUUUACCCUCGUGAUGAUUUGAACUCUCGAGCGUCUUAGUUGGUUCAUCGUCGUUUUAUAUAGUUUUUGAUACUCAUCGUACUUGCAAUUCAGCUUCAUGUAAAUUUGUAUUCUAUGAAAUUUCUAUA